CGAGCUUUCAACAGCUGAUGUGAUAAGACCAACGUUUUGCCAUCUCUCUCAAUCCUAGGGCUUUUUAUCGGGUUUUCUCUCACUCUCAUUGUCUCAAAGUUUCAGUACUUUAGUUUAGUACAUACAGUACAGUGUGCGUCAGUAUUGAACUUUACCUCCUUCGUGUAGGUCAUGUUUUCACAUUUCUAACGUGAAGCGUUCGUAGGUGAUAAUCAAUAAAGGAUUAACACGAAACAUUUCACGAAGCUGAGGUAUGGGACAUUGCAUUCAAGAAAUAGUAACAUGGUAUCAGAAGAAAAUCGGCACCUACGACAAGCAAGAAUGGGAAAAAACUGUAGAGCAGCGAAUUUUAAGUGGUUUCACGCAUGUCCCUAAAAAAGUGCAAAGCUCAAAACAGAUUUGAUCGAUGUGGAUCUAGUCAGAGGGUCAGCAUUCACAAAAGCAAAGCCGAAGCAUGGGAUUUUGACUGUGUCUCGGUUGGCAGUGCUGCGACUUCUGUGCUUGCCUCUUCACUCCAAGUGGUGGAUUGCUCAAACCUCAUCUUACGUGUUCGCUCUCCUACUCUUCCUCUAUGUUUUGCAAUUAGUCAAUAUUAUUAUUUAUUACUAUGCUAGCUCUCUCUACGAAAACGAGCAGGUUAGUUUUUAUG
rnacentral:lncRNA from 1 species